rnacentral:rRNA from 1 species
CUACGAAGGGGGCUAGCGUUGUUCGGAUUUACUGGGCGUAAAGCGCACGUAGGCGGAUUGAUUAGUUAGGGGUGAAAUCCCGAGGCUCAACCUCGGAACUGCCUUUAAUACUGUCAAUCUCGAGACCGGAAGAGGUGAGUGGAACUCCUAGUGUAGAGGUGGAAUUAGUAGAUAGUAGGAAGAACACCAGUGGCGAAGGCGGCUCACUGGUCCGGUACUGACGCUGAGGUGCGAAAGCGUGGGGAGCGAACAGGAUUAGAAACCCCAGUAGUCC